UCCAACAACCUAGAAAGUGGCAUGGAUGGUUGGCCUUGGCAAAAUGGUGGUAUAAUACCUCUUACCACACAUCAUGACUCCAUUUCAAGCAUUAUGGUGGCUGAGUAAGCACUGCCUGAUUCAAUAUGGGCAGAGAGUGACAACUUGAUGCAGAAUAGGGAGCUGGCUAUGGAAGUGAUCAAGCACAACCUAAGUAAAGCACAAGCUAGGAUGAAGUAGUAUGCUGGUCAGAAAAGAAAGGAAAGAGAGUUCAUGGUGGGGGACAUGGUCUAUCUAAAACUGCAGCCUUAUAGACACACCUCUCUCAGCGUGCAUAAGCACCUCAAACUGCAUUCUAAGUUCUAUGGCCCCUUUAGAGUGUUGGAAAGAGUGGGCAAGCAUGCUUACAAGUUAUUACUUCCAGAGGGAUGCCAGUUACACCCUACCUUCCAUAUGAGCGAGCUGAAAAAGCACAUUGGUGAGCAUGUGGUGCCAUCUCCUCACUUGCCCCUGGUGAAUGCAGAUGAAACUAUCAGAAGAGAGCCUGAAGCUGUGUUAGACAAAAAACUAGUUCCUCAGCGCCAAGGUGAGAUAAGCAUUCCUGUGGUGCGUUGGCUGGUCAAGUGGAUCAAUAUGCCUGCCGAAGAAGAUACUUGGAAAGAUGCAGCUUUUAUCCAGAAGAUUUUCCUUGCGUUUAGAGCUUGAGGACAAGCUCAGAUUUAAAAUGAGGGUAUUCUCAGGCUCUGAAGAAAGCACCUGGUGAUCAAUGUAUUGUGAAGGGUGUCGGAAGCGCCAUCUUCCUUUCAUCACAGAUUCAACGGUUAUGACAUAAAGCGACACUAUUGAAUUUCCGACAAAGCCCCUGACCAGUCGCGCGUCCCUCUUCUCCUCUGGCUAUAAAGCCAUGUAACUUUCCCCUUUGGCAACUUUAUGCUUAUUGUAAUCUAGGGUUGAAUCCUAGCCGGUGAGCUACAUUUCCAUUUCCUUCUCAGCAAAGCUCCAAAUUCCUCGCUAUUUCUUCUCUGAAAUCGAGUUCGUGUUCCACUGUUCGUGAUCAUACUCUGUUCGUAGUAAGCGAGUGCUUGACAGGUUAGGGCCCCCGCGCCCCUAUCCCCCUCCAUCCUCCAGUGCUCCCCAUGCCCAUGGCGGGAUCCGUCCGUCACCGACCCCCGGAGAGGCCUCCACCACCGGAUCCGGCCACCACGAUCAUCAGCGCGGCCACAAAAUGACGGAUCUUGCCACCACCCACUAUCCACCCCCGCUGCCCUUCCUCCCCAUCAUUCCAUCCCAGAGGAGAUGACUCCGGCACGGAUCCAGCCUCCCAGGCGGAUCCCGAACAACAACUCCUCCCUCCGCUGCUUCCUGGUGGUCGAUAGAGGAGCUGGAAGGUCCGGACCUCCUAGUGCUCCACGGCUACGAGCCAUCUACUGCCUGCCGUCAACGGAAUUCAGCAGCUGGCCCCACCGUCCCUUUUCCGAGUUGGCCGUCGGUGCACUUCGCCGAUGACAGGAGGACAUCUCGGUUCCUCGGGCGUGCGGCUCGCCUGUUAGCUGGAUGCGAUCAUCGUGUGAUGAAAUUUGUUAUGUGGCCGUCAAGAGGACCACGACUGGCAGGAGGAUGACGGCGACCUACCACAAGCAGCCUCCACAUGCCCGUGUGUGUUUUGCAAUUCAGUUCGAAGUAGUUUCAGUGCCCGCGGUGCUGGCGUGCAGUGCAGUGCACCGUCGACCCUUGGUCAGGCGUUCACGUGUUCUGUUGUUCGGUAGUUGCUGCCUUUUUCAGGUUUGGGGGUUGGACUUGCGGUGCUCUGGUGUACUACGACUGGGAGAGUAGUGUAGUUCUAGUUCUAUGUUUAUUUUAGCAUUUAGAUAUGCAGUGUAGUGUGUAACAUUUAGAUAUGUACUCCCUCCGUCUGGAAUUACCUGUCGCAAAAAUGGAUAGAAAUGGAUGUAUCUAAAACUAAAA